rfam:Vibrio sp. Ex25 gcontig_1102407882378, whole genome shotgun sequence.
UGUUGCCGUAGAGGCGCGGUCUCGAAGAGUAGCUAUUAUUGGGGUGAUGCCAAUGAAUAAUAGUGGAAGGCGAAGAUUGCCGAAGUAAGUAACUCAUCAAAGUUACUUGCUGGGGUUGUAUCUGAAAGGAACAACACUGCCAUAGUAUAUAUUCACAUUAAACUAUGGAGCGCUACUGUAGGG